AACGAACGCUGGCGGCAUGCCUAACACAUGCAAGUCGAACGAGACCUUCGGGUCUAGUGGCGCACGGGUGCGUAACACGUGGGAAUCUGCCCUUUGCUUCGGAAUAACAGUUAGAAAUGACUGCUAAUACCGGAUGAUGUCGAAAGACCAAAGAUUUAUCGGCAAAGGAUGAGCCCGCGUAGGAUUAGGUAGUUGGUGGGGUAAAGGCCUACCAAGCCGACGAUCCUUAGCUGGUCUGAGAGGAUGAUCAGCCACACUGGGACUGAGACACGGCCCAGACUCCUACGGGAGGCAGCAGUGGGGAAUAUUGGACAAUGGGCGAAAGCCUGAUCCAGCAAUGCCGCGUGAGUGAUGAAGGCCUUAGGGUUGUAAAGCUCUUUUAACAGGGAUGAUAAUGACAGUACCUGGAGAAUAAGCUCCGGCUAACUCCGUG
rnacentral:rRNA from 1 species